CCACACGGUACUAGGGCCAGCCACCCACGAACCCACUUCCAGGUGGCACUAAUUCUCCUCUAGGGACAUUCACACAGUCCUUCUGAGAGUCGGAACCCGUGGCAAACCUUAAUGCUUCCCGACGUUGAAGCCCACGGUCGAUGCGGCUCUUCCUAAUACCAAAACUUGUAGCUGAUCCCAUCUCCUAUCGGUGCCGACAC
rnacentral:lncRNA from 1 species